UACGAAGGGAGCUAGCGUUGUUCGGAAUCACUGGGCGUAAAGCGCACGUAGGCGGACUUGUAAGUCAGGGGUGAAAUCCCGGGGCUCAACCUCGGAACUGCCUUUGAUACUGCAAGCCUGGAGUCCGGAAGAGGUGGGUGGAAUUCCUAGUGUAGAGGUGAAAUUCAUAGAUAUUAGGAAGAACACCGGUGGCGAAGGCGGCCCACUGGUCCGGUACUGACGCUGAGGUGCGAAAGCGUGGGGAGCAAACAGG
rnacentral:rRNA from 1 species